GCAAGUCAAGUUUAUAGCUUAGAAAUAGCAUUGGAUUCAAAAAUAGUUAUCUCAUCAUGUUUAUAAUAUAAAAUCAUCAAGAGCAUAACUGCACAUUGCUACACAAUCAUCAACCAAUGCAUUAGCUCACAAAUAGCAUAAGGAAAUGCUAAGGAUAUAUAGGAGAAACUCAUCUAGUGCAAAGUGUACAAGGUGGAAUAUGAUACAAAUGCAAUGCAAUGCUAAAAGAGAUGGGGCUCGGCUCAAAACCAAGAAAGCUCAUGAGGGUUAAAUCAAUCUAGGAAAAGCUCUGUGGCAAUAGAAGAACCGUCAACAAUCCCAACUGAGUACCAUAGAGGGGAUACCAAUUGAAGGAUCAAAAAUUAAUACCACUUGAAGAAGAUGGAAUCCAAUCGAAAGAUCAAAUGUGAUAACAAUUAAAAGAUCAAAAGCGGAUAUCAAAAAACCAAAGCAAGUCUUGGUCCAAACUCCCCCUCAAUCAAAGACGCCUUAGCAAAAGAAAAGCUAGAAAAUAGAACGGGGCAAAAGAAAAGCUCCAACACCAAUUAAAAGGAAGAGAAAAUUCAAAGGAG
rnacentral:lncRNA from 1 species